rnacentral:rRNA from 1 species
GAGGAACGCUGGCGGCGUGCCUAAUACAUGCAAGUUGAGCGCUGAAGGUUGGUACUUGUACCAACUGGAUGAGCAGCGAACGGGUGAGUAACGCGUGGGGAAUCUGCCUUUGAGCGGGGGACAACAUUUGGAAACGAAUGCUAAUACCGCAUAAAAACUUUAAACACAAGUUUUAAGUUUGAAAGAUGCAAUUGCAUCACUCAAAGAUGAUCCCGCGUUGUAUUAGCUAGUUGGUGAGGUAAAGGCUCACCAAGGCGAUGAUACAUAGCCGACCGGAGAGGGUGAUCGGCCACAAUGGGACUGAGACGAGGCCCAAACUCCUACGGGAGGCAGCAGUAGGGAAUCGUCGGCAAUGGACGAAAGUCUGACCGAGCAAAGCCGCGUGAGUGAAGAAGGUUUUCGGAUCGGAAAACUCUGUUGGUAGAGAAGAACGUUGGUGAGAGUGGAAAGCUCAUCAAGUGACGGUAACUACCCAGAAAGGGACGGCUAACUACGUG